rnacentral:rRNA from 1 species
GUGGGGAAUCUUAGACAAUGGGGGCAACCCUGAUCUAGCCAUGCCGCGUGAGUGAUGAAGGCCUUAGGGUUGUAAAGCUCUUUCAGUGGGGAAGAUAAUGACGGUACCCACAGAAGAAGCCCCGGCUAACUCCGUGCCAGCAGCCGCGGUAAUACGGAGGGGGCUCGCGUUGUUCGGAAUUACUGGGCGUAAAGCGCACGUAGGCGGAUCGGACAGUUGGGGGUGACAUCCCAGGGCUCCACCUUGGACCUGCCUUCAAAACUAUCGGUCUGGAGUCCGAGAGAGGUGAGGGGAAUUCCGAGUGUAGAGGUGAAAUUCGUAGAUAUUCGGAGGAAAACCAGUGGCGAAGGCGGCGCACUGGCGCGGUACUGACGCUGAGGUGCGAAAGCGUGGGGAGCAAACAGGAUUAGAUACCCGGGUAGUCC